CCACCCAAUUCAGUCUUCCUUUUGCCCUCAAAAAAAAAAAAUCAGUCUUCCUUCUGCUCCCCUCUCCUCUCCACUCCUCCCCCGACGGGUUGAGCUCGCGGCGUGCAGCGUGUCCGCAUCGCCGCCGCCCAUCCUCGUUCCAAGCGCCUUUAUCCGCAGCCGUCGUCGCCGGCCCUAAUCCCUAGAGCUGCCGUGUUCCCCUUCUCCUCUCUCUCGCUCAGCAUCGUCUUCAACCUCCAGACGUCAAGAACAGAGCAAGCAGAGCCGCCAUCGAUCCAAAAAUCCACGAGCUCCACCCCGUGGUUUUAAAAUCCACCACACCCAGGGUCUCUCCACCUCCCUAGCCCCUCCACGGCCCCUCAAACUCGAGCUCCGACCGUCAUCUCGCCGGGAAUCGCAGAUCUCCCAGCCGCCAGUUCCAACUCCGCCCGGACUCGACCUCACCGUGGAACUUCAUCGUCCGGCCACCGUUUCCACCACCCAACGGCUCAAAUCGACUGGGCUUCUGAUUGGUCAUACUCAUAGCGAUGAUGGUGCCUGAUCUUAGUUUCUCAGCAUCAAUCUCUAGUGUGAAGCUCCCAAGGUAUGGGGCAUCAAAGAAUGAGAAAUUCUUGGUUAAGAGGACCCCAAAAUUCCGGGCAAAGUAUGGUACUAAUGGCCAGGCAACAAAGAUGGUCCCAACAACUGAGUUGAGGAGGACCAAUGGUGGUGGCCUUGCAAGAUCAGGGACAGUCAAUGGUUCUCCAAAUGGCACUGUCAACAGCUCAACCAAGGCACCAAUUAAUGGUUCUGCAAAGGCCAUUGUCAAUAGCUCAACCAAAACUGUUAUUAACGGUACACCGAAGAUGACUGUGAAUGGUACAAGUUUGGUGAAAGGCAGCAAGAUGUCCUCUCUUGUUAAGACAGAGAAGCACACGAGAUUCAACAAUGACCCCUUUCAAGAGGAACUGAAGGUUUUGCCUUCUGAUGAGGGAUUCAGCUGGGCGAAAGAUAAUUACAACUCUGCGCAGAGGAGCAUAGAUAUAUGGUCUUUUGUGCUUUCUUUUCGAGUCCGUGUGCUAUUUGACAAUGCAAAAUGGGCUUAUCCUGGUAGAUUCUCAGAAGAAAAGCAGAAAGUUCGAAGACAGAAAACUGCUUCAUGGUUAAGAGAGCAAGUAUUGCAGCUUGGCCCAACAUUUAUUAAGCUUGGACAGUUAUCAUCCACACGAUCUGAUUUAUUCCCAAGAGAAUUUGUCGACGAGCUUGCAAAACUGCAGGAUAGAGUACCUGCAUUCUCUCCUGACAAAGCAAAAGCUUUCAUAGAGAAGGAAAUGGGUUGUUCCAUUGAUAUUGUGUACAAAGAAUUUGAAGAACGUCCAAUAGCGGCAGCAAGUCUUGGUCAGGUACAUCGUGCAGUGCUCCAUAAUGGUGAACGAGUUGCAGUCAAAGUUCAGCGACCGGGGCUCAAAAAACUUUUUGACAUUGACCUAAGGAACUUAAAGCUAGUAGCUGAGUAUUUUCAAAGAAGUGAAACAUUUGGAGGCCCUUCAAGGGACUGGAUUGGUAUUUACAAGGAAUGUUCCAAAAUUUUAUACGAAGAAAUCAAUUACAUCAACGAAGGAAAGAAUGCGGACAGGUUUCGACGGGAUUUCAGAAAUGUAAAGUGGGUUCGCGUGCCAGUAAGUUUCCUGGACCUCGCAAUGCUUUGGUUAUAGUUCUUUGUCUCCUAAAGAAUUAGUGUUACAAAAUGUUAUAUUAGUGCUGGAAUUGAGAUGGCAAGCCACUAAUUUGUGAUGAUUAGUGGUUGGUCCAAGCAUUAAAGGCUAUCUAUUUACUUACAAAAUAAUCCACAUCAGUUGUGGAAAACUAUGUACUUAGUUAAAGACCAGAAUUAUCCAUAUAAAGUGUUCACUGAUUGGUUCUAAUCAAUGUUUUUUAUCCCUUUCUUCUUCUGUAAACAUGCUUAAAUUUUAGUCAUGGUGGAGCUCUGAAGUGGAACCUUGCAUUUUCUUAACCUUAAUUUCAAUGUCCUACAUGAUGUGUUAUCCUACUGUUUUUUUUAGCUUAUAAUGUGGGACUACACAACUGAAAAGGUGUUAACCCUGGAGUAUGUUCCUGGUAAGAGCUUACUAUUUCUUGUAAUAGAAAUUAGCAUCAGUAAUUCAGUACUGUUGCAUGAACGGUUAUUUGGGCGACCAUUUAUGAAGUAAACAGGGCCGGCCCUGAGGUAGUGCCGGCGGUGCGGCCGCACCGGGCCACAGAAAAUUGGGGGCCUCCAAAUAUUGCUACACAAACAGGCUUGUCAAGUUAUAAGUGCCAAUAAAUCUUAGUGCAUGCAGCUACAUAGUUUAGGACGUGCAGCUACAUAACUCAAUUCAUUAAUGACAAUGAGUUUUUCAAUAUUUCUCCCUCCAUUUAGUUAUGAUAGCUAUAUUUUUACAUGGCACGGUGACCAAGGCACCAAGUAUGCUUAUUGUUGGAAUAUAAAGUGAAUUGUCCACCUCUCCCCAUCAGCUUAAGCUUUUGGGUUGAACUGGUCGGUGCAUGCAACUCAAUAUGGUAUCAAAGCCAGAGGUCUCGAGUUCGAAUCCUGGUUAGUGCAAUUAAAUAAAAUAAUUGUUGCUCGUUCCUAUUCCACAUCUGAGGCCUGAGGGAGCCUCCACGUGAGGGGGAGUGUUGGAAUAUAAAGUGAAUUGUCCACCUCUCCCCAUCAGCUUAAGCUUUUGGGUUGAACUGGUCGGUGCAUGCAACUCAAUACUUAUCAAUCCAUUAAUCAUAUUAACCAUCCUCUCCUCGUUUCCACAACUUUUCUUGGCGAAACUCCUCGUUUCUAGUGAUUAUUAACUAUCGCGGUCCAUGUCGAAAACCAACAGAUCCAGUUUUUCUUCUUCUCAAGACACGCAUGCGUGUCGGAGUUGCUGUUGGGGGAUGCCGAACAAGCUACUUGCGGACUCUCGAGGCAAAGGCUUAAUAUAGCGAUGAAUUUUGAAUUUUUUUUAUUUUAGAAAUAUAGCUUCAUAACUAAAUGGAGAGAGUAUCUUGUAUUUUUAUGAUGAAUGGGGCCUUCAUUUUUUGUUCCGCACCGGCCCACCAAAAAGUCAGGGCCGGCCCUGGAAGUAAAUUAUCUUAAUUUGGACAUAUAAAUGAUAAAUAUGAAUUGUUUUUCCUUGGAUGUGUCAUUAAAUUAAGCAGGAACAAAAAAAAACAAAGGAUGAAAAAGAACAUGUAUUAUGUAUAGACACUUUCAAUUCAAUUUUCCUAGUUUUUAUUAAAUCUCCAUUAUUUUGUGAUGUAGAAAAGAAUGAGACUAACUUCAACCAUUUUUAACAACUUAUUGCAUAAUUAAGUUUCAGUUGUAAUUGCAGGCUUGCAGCUCGUCAGCUAAUAUAUCAAUUUCUAUGUUUCCAAAAAUGAAAAAUAAAUUGUCUACAUGCCCAAGUGUUGCUACUAACUUUGUUUAUUCUAGGCGCCUUUUCAUUUAAAACAUACGAUGAAGGUCUGGUAUGGACCGUUAAAGCAUGUUUAUCCUUUCAGUUGUAACUUGGGGUAUGUACUGUUAGUGUGUUACAACAACCCUUACACUGAAACUUCUUUUUAUUUUCUAUACAGGUAUCAAAAUUAACAAUUUGGGUGUGCUUGAUAGCCGGGGCUAUAGUCGCUCACUGAUUGCAUCACGUGCAAUAGAAUCUUAUCUAAUUCAGAUAUUGAAGACUGGAUUUUUCCAUGCUGAUCCUCAUCCUGGAAACCUUGCUGUAGAUAAGGAUGGUUCUUUAAUAUAUUAUGAUUUUGGAAUGAUGGGUGAAAUAAAAUCAUUCACUCGAGAGAGAUUGCUCUCCCUGUUCUAUUCUGUGUAUGAGAAGGACGCAAACAAGGUUAUGAAAGCUCUAAUUGACCUGGGAGCUCUACAGCCAACAGGAGAUCUCUCACCGGUUAGGAGGUCCAUUCAAUUUUUCUUGGACAAUCUGUUGAGCCAGACACCAGAUCAGCAACAGACUCUGGCUACAAUUGGAGAAGACUUAUUUGCGAUAGCACAGGAUCAGCCUUUCCGGUUUCCAUCCACAUUUACAUUUGUUAUAAGGGCAUUCUCUACUCUUGAAGGGAUUGGAUAUACAUUAGAUCCAGAUUUUUCCUUUGUCAAAGUUGCAGCUCCAUAUGCACAGGAACUGUUAGACUUGAAACAGAGACAACGGGGUGGGCCUGAAUUAGUCCAGGAGAUAAGAAAGCAAGCAAAUGAUGCUCGUGAUUCUACCAUAUCAAUGCCCUACAGAAUACAGAGAAUUGAAGAUUUUGUAGGACAACUCGAGUCAGGUGAUCUGAAACUCAGGGUCAGAGUACUGGAGUCUGAACGAGCUGCUCGGAAAGCUACUGUGCUUCAGAUGGCCACCAUGUAUACAGCCUUGGGUGGUACUCUCUUGAAUGUUGGGGUCACAUUGAACAGUCAAGGGAACCAAAUAAUUGCAAACGGUUCUUUCAUUGGUGCAGGCAUAUUUUUAGCAUUGCUGAUCAGAUCUAUGCAAAGAGUGAAGAAGCUUGACAAAUUCGAGACCAUGAUAUGAUCAUCUUGCAAGAUGUGCAACCGCAGAAGUUCCUGUCCCUGAAAAGGCAUGGCAUGACAAACUAAAUAGUAUCUUUGUCGAUUUACAUGGGAAAUGCGCGCCCCCUCAGGUCAUAGUAUAUACGAAGUGCAUAUAGGAAAUUUACAUUCUUUCUGGGAAACAAGUGAGCUUUCACAUGCUCUUAUAAAUCUGUACAAACUGUAUCAUUAUUUAGCCGCCAAGGCUAAUCACAUCGACCAGUCAAUAAAGCAAGGAAUUCAAGACAAUUGUAAUUUUAUUUUACACUAAAAAAUUUAAAAUAUUCUGAAAUAUUCGAUGUUAACCCCUAUGGAAAUUAAGCAAAAAUAUGGUGCGGCUAUGGAGAUAUGAUGGUACAAAGUGUUUUUUUAGAAACUAUGCCAUCCAGAUGGUACUUCUAAGGUUUUUUUGUAAAUAGGAUUUUUGCUUGAAACUACGAUAAAAAUGUGGGAAAUUCAGUAUUUACAAAGUUGCUACUUGUCAAGCUCAUGUUUGCCACUCCACCGAAAGGUUAACUUUAGGGUUGGGCAAUGGCUUGUUGAAUUUGGCCCAUUUAAGAGAGUUCCAAAUCAACAUGUGGCUGCCUCCAGAGUAUGAGGACAUGUACCCGGAGUAUCCGGAUUGUUGAUUGGAUGUUCGAACUCAUGUCCGAAUUUAUGUCCAAGUGAAUGGUGACUUGUCACUUGUGUCUCUCACAUUUGAAUCGUUGUGCACUGAUUAAGCGAUAAUUAAUGCCCGGUUAAUUCCAGAAUACCUAGUUAAUUGCUCUGAUCAUCGUGAAUGCAUUUCAAUGUCUUUUAUGGGCAUCAUUAAAGAGAAUAAAAUGGCUCCUUGAAGGCAGCCACAUCUAUAUGAAUAGACUGAAAGCAUUCAGGUGGAGAACUCAUCUUUUGCUAUUUUCCACAUCUCGCUGUGCUGUGUCGUCGAGCUGCUGCAUCUCGCCAGCUCUUCCCUUGGCGUGCACCGAGGAGGGUGAGCGGUAUCUCCGAGCCCUUGCUGUCUUGAAGCCUGCACGAGGGGCGGCAAUAAAGUUUCUGGGCAGCGCUUCUGCACGACCACUCGAAAUGCGUUGCCUCAUCUUCGAUCUGCACGGCGUCGAUUCUUCACUGCAGCAACACUAGAGACAUCAACCCGAUUUAAUGCAGGCUCAUGAGAUGCAACUACUGGCCGGAGAGAUUGCAAGUCUGGGUUGCGCUUUGCCUGACAGGUUUGUGGCAGUAGGCAUUGUUGCCAAACUCCCUGCUACUUGGCGGGAUUUUGCCACUACCUUGAAACAUAAGAGGGAAGAUAUCUCCACGGAGGAUCUGGUUAUAGCCCUCGAUGUCGAGGAAAAGGCAAGAGCGAAAGAUUCUCCAAGCACUUCUGUUGCGGCAGAGAAUGGUGUUAGUGCAAAUAUUGUUGAGAAGAAAUUCAACAACAAGAACAAGGGCAAAAUACAGAUGCAGAAUAGUGGGAAGCCUAAGAAAACUAUUAACUUCAAGAAGAAGAAGAAUGAGAAAGACAAUAAGACUUGUUAUGUGUGUGGCAAGAAAGGGCAUGUUGCAAAAAAUUGCCGCCACCGCAAGAACAAGGACAAUGAACAGAAAGCUGUUAAUAUGACGAGGCCAGAUCUCCAGGGAGCACGGACUUCCUCCAUCCUGAUGGGAAACGGACCAGCUGCUUCUGUUCUUGGUGUUGGUAUGGUCGAUCUGAAGCUAUCUUCAGGCAAAGAUUGUCCCUUUGAAGAACGUGCAUCAUGCUCCAACAAUAAACAAGAAUCUCGUUAGUGUUUCCUUGUUAUGUUAGGAUGGUUACAAGUUAGUGUUUGAGUCCAAUAAAGUUAUAAUGUCUAAGUUUGGAAACUUUGUUGGCAAAGGCUAUAUGAGCGGAGGCUUGUUCCGCUUGAGUACUUCUGAUUUAUCGUAUAAUCUUAAGAUUGCAUCAAUGGUUAAUAAACUUUGUGAGGCUGAUUUGUGGCACUCACGUUUUUGUCA